UAACACGUAAAGAACCUACCUUAUAGACAGGGACAACUAUUGGAAACGAUAGCUAAUACCUGAUAAGAAAGAAACUCGCAUGAGAGAAGUUCGAAAGUCGGAGCAAUCUGACACUAUAAGAUGGCUUUGCGGUGCAUUAGCUAGUUGGUAGGGUAAAAGCCUACCAAGGCGACGAUGCAUAGCCGACCUGAGAGGGUGAUCGGCCACAUUGGGACUGAGACACGGCCCAGACUCCUACGGGAGGCAGCAGGG
rnacentral:rRNA from 1 species